UACGGAGGGUCCAAGCGUUAUCCGGAAUCAUCGGGUUUAAAGGGUCCGUAGGCGGUUUAGUAAGUCAGUGGUGAAAGCCCAUCGCUCAACGGUGGAACGGCCAUUGAUACUGCUAAACUUGAAUUAUUAGGAAGUAACUAGAAUAUGUAGUGUAGCGGUGAAAUGCUUAGAUAUUACAUGGAAUACCAAUUGCGAAGGCAGGUUACUACUAAUGGAUUGACGCUGAUGGACGAAAGCGUGGGUAGCGAACAGG
rnacentral:rRNA from 1 species